GAUCCUGGCUCAGGAUGAACGCUGGCGGCGUGCCUAACACAUGCAAGUCGAACGGGAACCUCAUGACGGAGACUUCGGUUGAAGACAUGAGAAUUCUAGUGGCGGACGGGUGAGUAACGCGUGGGUAACCUGCCCUUAAGAGGCGGAUAACAGUGAGAAAUCACUGCUAAUACGGCAUAUGCUUACGGUGUCGCAUGACACAGUGAGGAAAGGAAUUUUGCUUAAGGAUGGACCCGCGUUUGAUUAGCCAGUUGGCAGGGUAACGGCCUACCAAAGCGACGAUCAAUAGCCGGCCUGAGAGGGUGAACGGCCACAUUGGAACUGAGACACGGUCCAAACUCCUACGGGAGGCAGCAGUGGGGAGUAUUGCACAAUGGGCGGAAGCCUGAUGCAGCAACGCCGCGUGAGUGAAGAAGUAUUUCGGUAUGUAAAGCUCUAUCGAUGGGGAAUAAGAUGAAGGUACCCAAGUAAGAAGCCCCGGCUAACUACGUGCC
rnacentral:rRNA from 1 species